UUAGUAUGAUUUUAUUUUGCAUAUUCACUAUAUUUUUUUUCCACUGGAAGAAACCACAGCUAUUAAAAUGUCAAAAUACUUAUUUAGACCUUACUUAUGUGUAGUAUAUGCUUUAAAGUACUAAUGUAAGCAAUGUGGUUGUUGAAUAAUUUAUCAUGGAAAAAGUUUGGUUUCUUGGUAUUAGGUUCCAUUGAAAAAAAGAAACGGACAUGGUAGCAUUAUCAGCCGUACGGGAUUGUUGUUUAAUUAUGAAAUGGGGUGAAAUGGGAGGGGAGCAUUGUACAUUGUGUCCUGCUGCUAUUCAAUAUUAGGAUGCAACUUUCACAAAAUCUUAACAUAGGGCUCAUGUCAUUUAAACUGAGAAAGACAUUAGUGUGCACGCUACACAAAGCAUGUAUUUUCUUAAUAAACCUAUUUUCAUGA